rnacentral:ncRNA from 1 species
GUAAAUUCAUUGAAAAGAAGAGUACUUUUUAACAAACCUCAACAAUAACACAUAAGCGAGCAGGGAUGGUGGAAGCCUGUGAGGAAGCUAAAAAGGAAGAGAGCCUUGGAGAAGCUUGCGAAAAAGGUAUAAUGAUGCAUUCAUUAAAUCACAAGCAAGCCGUUAACUGCGUUAAAGUUUUGAGUGGACUUGGUAUAAUGGCCUUGUCAACAAGAGUGGUACCACGGAUAUAUUCCCGUCUCUAUA